rnacentral:rRNA from 1 species
UUCUUUUUGAAUUUAAUUUAAAGUAUAACCUGCCCAUUGAAUUUUUUUAAAAGGCUGCGGUAUAUUGACCGUACAAAGGUAGCAUAAUCAUUAGUUUCUUAAUUGGAAACUUGUAUGAAUGGUUGAAUGAGAAAUAGACUUUUUUAAUUUAAAAAUUGAAUUUUACUUUUUAGUUAAAAGGCUUAAAUAAAUUUAAAAGACGAGAAGACCCUAUAGAGUUUUAUAAUUUGCAUUUAAUGUUUUGUAAAAAUUAAUAAAUAUUUUAUUUAGUUAAAUUAUUUUAUUGGGGUGAUAAUAAAAUUUAAUUAACUUUUAUUUUUUUUUUACAUUAAUAUAUGAUAAAUUGAUCCAUAUUUAAUGAUUAAAAAAUUAAAUUACCUUAGGGAUAACAGCGUAAUUUUUUUUCUAAGUUCAUAUUAAUAAAAAAUUUUGCGACCUCGAUGUUGGAUUAAGAUUUAAUUUUAGGUGCAGAAGUUUAAAAUUUAAGUCUGUUCGACUUUUAAAUUCUU